UACGUAGGGGGCAAGCGUUGUCCGGAAUCAUUGGGCGUAAAGCGCGCGUAGGCGGCCCGGUAAGUCCGCUGUGAAAGUCAAAGGCUCAACCUUUGAAUGUCAGCGGAUACUGCCGGGCUAGAGUCCGGAAGAGGCGAGUGGAACUCCUGGUGUAGCGGUGGAAUGCGCAGAUAUCAGGAAGAACACCGAUGGCGAAGGCAGCUCUCUGGGACGGUACUGACGCUGAGACGCGAAAGCGUGGGGAGCGAACAGG
rnacentral:rRNA from 1 species